rnacentral:rRNA from 1 species
AGCGGCGAACGGGUGAGUAACACGUAGGUUAUCUGCCCAUCAGACGGGGACAACGAUUGGAAACGAUCGCUAAUACCGGAUAGGACGAAAGUUUAAAGGUGCUUCGGCACCACUGAUGGAUGAGCCUGCGGCGCAUUAGCUAGUUGGUAAGGUAAAGGCCUACCAAGGCGACGAUGCGUAGCCGACCUGAGAGGGUGAACGGCCACACUGGGACUGAGACACGGCCCAGACUCCUACGGGAGGCAGCAGUAGGGAAUCUUCGGCAAUGGGCGAAAGCCUGACCGAGCAACGCCGCGUGAAUGAUGAAGGCCUUCGGGUUGUAAAAUUCUGUUAUAAGGGAAGAAUGGCUCUAGUAGGAAAUGGCUAGAGUGUGACGGUACCUUAUGAGAAAGCCACGGCUAACUACGUGCCAGCAGCCGCGGUAAUACGUAGGUGGCGAGCGUUAUCCGGAAUUAUUGGGCGUAAAGAGCGCGCAGGUGGUUGAUUAAGUCUGAUGUGAAAGCCCACGGCUUAACCGUGGAGGGUCAUUGGAAACUGGUCAACUUGAGUGCAGAAGAGGGAAGUGGAAUUCCAUGUGUAGCGGUGAAAUGCGUAGAGAUAUGGAGGAACACCAGUGGCGAAGGCGGCUUCCUGGUCUGUAACUGACACUGAGGCGCGAAAGCGUGGGGAGCAAACAGGAUUAGAUACCCUGGUAGUCCACGCCGUAAACGAUGAGUGCUAAGUGU